UACGUAGGGUGCGAGCGUUGUCCGGAAUUACUGGGCGUAAAGAGCUCGUAGGUGGUUUUGUCGCGUUGUCCGUGAAAAACUCACAACUCAAUUGUGGGCGUGCGGGCGAUACGGGCAGACUGGAGUACUGCAGGGGGAGACUGGAAUUCCUGGUGUAGCGGUGGAAUGCGCAGAUAUCAGGAGGAACACCGGUGGCGAAGGCGGGUCUCUGGCUCAUUUUCUGACGCUCAGGCGCGACAGCGUGGGGGAUCAAGCAGG
rnacentral:rRNA from 1 species